rnacentral:rRNA from 1 species
GACGAACGCUGGCGGCGUGCUUAGCACAUGCAAGUCGAACGGAAAGGCCCUGCUUUUGUGGGGUGCUCGAGUGGCGAACGGGUGAGUAACACGUGAGUAACCUGCCCUUGACUUUGGGAUAACUUCAGGAAACUGGGGCUAAUACCGGAUAGGAGCUCCUGCUGCAUGGUGGGGGUUGGAAAGUUUCGGCGGUUGGGGAUGGACUCGCGGCUUAUCAGCUUGUUGGUGGGGUAGUGGCUUACCAAGGCUUUGACGGGUAGCCGGCCUGAGAGGGUGACCGGCCACAUUGGGACUGAGAUACGGCCCAGACUCCUACGGGAGGCAGCAGUGGGGAAUAUUGCACAAUGGGCGGGAGCCUGAUGCAGCAACGCCGCGUGCGGGAUGACGGCCUUCGGGUUGUAAACCGCUUUCGCCUGUGACGAAGCGUGAGUGACGGUAAUGGGUAAAGAAGCACCGGCUAACUACGUG